GCAUUCGGGCCGAGAUGUCUCGCUCCGUGGCCUUAGCUGUGCUCGCGCUACUCUCUCUUUCUGGCCUGGAGGCUAUCCAGCUACUCCAAAGAUUCAGGUUUACUCACGUCAUCCAGCAGAGAAUGGAAAGUCAAAUUUCCUGAAUUGCUAUGUGUCUGGGUUUCAUCCAUCCGACAUUGAAGUUGACUUACUGAAGAAUGGAGAGAGAAUUGAAAAAGUGGAGCAUUCAGACUUGUCUUUCAGCAAGGACUGGUCUUUCUAUCUCUUGUACUACACUGAAUUCACCCCCACUGAAAAAGAUGAGU
rnacentral:lncRNA from 1 species